UACGUAGGGUGCAAGCGUUAAUCGGAAUUACUGGGCGUAAAGCGUGCGCAGGCGGUUCUGUAAGUCUGUCGUGAAAUCCCCGGGCUUAACCUGGGAAUUGCGAUGGAGACUGCAAGGCUAGAAUCUGGCAGAGGGGGGUAGAAUUCCACGUGUAGCAGUGAAAUGCGUAGAGAUGUGGAGGAACACCGAUGGCGAAGGCAGCCCCCUGGGUCAAGAUUGACGCUCAUGCACGAAAGCGUGGGGAGCAAACAGGAUUAGAAACCCGUG
rnacentral:rRNA from 1 species